GACGAACGCUGGCGGCGUGCCUAAUACAUGCAAGUAGAACGCUGAAGAGAGGAGCUUGCUCUUCUUGGCUGAGUUGCGAACGGGUGAGUAACGCGUAGGUAACCUGCCUUGUAGCGGGGGAUAACUAUUGGAAACGAUAGCUAAUACCGCAUAACAAUGGAUGACACAUGUCAUUUAUUUGAAAGGGGCAAUUGCUCCACUACAAGAUGGACCUGCGUUGUAUUAGCUAGUAGGUGAGGUAAUGGCCCACCUAGGCGACGAUACAUAGCCGACCUGAGAGGGUGAUCGGCCACACUGGGACUGAGACACGGCCCAGACUCCUACGGGAGGCAGCAGUAGGGAAUCUUCGGCAAUGGGGGCAACCCUGACCGAGCAACGCCGCGUGAGUGAAGAAGGGUUUCGGAUCGUAAAGCUCUGUUGUAAGUCAAGAACGGGUGUGAGAGUGGAAAGUUCACGCUGUGACGGUAGCUUACCAGAAAGGGACGGCUAACUACGUG
rnacentral:rRNA from 1 species